rnacentral:rRNA from 1 species
AGCGAACGCUGGCGGCAUGCUUAACACAUGCAAGUCGCGCGGCCAGUAAUGGCAGCGGCGGACGGGUGAGUAACGCGUAGGAAUGUGUCCAGAGGUGGGGGACAACCCCGGGAAACUGGGGCUAAUACCGCAUAUGACCUGAGGGUCAAAGCAGUAAUGCGCCUUUGGAGCAGCCUGCGUCCGAUUAGGUAGUUGGUGGGGUAAUGGCCUACCAAGCCUGCGAUCGGUAGCUGGUCUGAGAGGACGAUCAGCCACACUGGGACUGAAACACGGCCCAGACUCCUACGGGAGGCAGCAGUGGGGAAUAUUGGACAAUGGGGGCAACCCUGAUCCAGCAAUGCCGCGUGUGAAGAAGGUCUUCGGAUCGUGAAGCACUUUCGGCGGGGACGAUGAUGACGGUACCCGCAGAAGAAGCCCCGGCUAACUUCGUGCCAGCAGCCGCGGUAACAC